UAUCUGAUCUACAGCUCACUUCAUCAUCGGAUGCCGUGGGCUGUAGCUCAGGAAAGCUUAUGCUCUGAUAAAUUUGUUAGUCUCUAAGGUGCCACAAGUCCUCCUGUUCUUUUUACAUUAUAUGCAUGGUUUCAUUCAGCUGUGUGAGAGGACCUGAGCCACACAUGGGGAGCAGUACCUUGCUACAGAACAGCUGCCGGCAGGCAAGCCCAGAGCUACACUGGCUUCUCAGGAUGAACCAGCUAAUUUGCUGAUCAGGUUGUUUCCGCCAGUUGUUUAUCUGGGCUUAAAACAAGCCUGGGCAGAGUCUAAAAGCAGUUCAAAUGAAACUGUGAACCAGGGGUCAGAUUAGUAGGGAAAGGGGUGGUGGUACUCUUCCAAAUGCUUUCCCACAAAAUAAGCUCUGCCCACUGUGAGAUGCUACUCACAGUCAAUUGUGCAGAUGUUAAGCAUGUAUCAGAGGUUCUCAAACUUCACUGCACCCCAACCCCUUUCUGACAACAAAAAUGACUCCGGGGGGGGGGACCAAAGUCUGAGCCUGCCUGAGCCCCAGCACCAUAGGCAGGGUGACCAAAGCCCAAACCUGAGCCCUGUCAUCCAGGGCUGGAGCCCUUGGGUUUUGGCCCCCAGCAGUGGGAUUUAAGCUUUGGCUUUGUCCCUGGGCUGUGGGGCUUGGGCUUUGUCCCUGGGCCCCAGCAAAUCUAAUGCCAGCCCUGGCGACCCCAUUACAAUGGGGUUGUGACCCACUUUGGGGUCCCAACCCACAAUCUGAGAACUGCUGGCAUAUAUGAUCACAUGUUUUCUAGGCUUCUUACACCCUCGGGGGGGGGGGGGGUCUGAAUACACCUGUGGACUCUACUUAGCUCCUUGGUCUUGGAUUUUCUUGAUUGAGAAGGGACGUGGCAUUGCUCUCCCCAACCCGUUCACAUGUUGUGCCAAAAUGAGCUGUUAGGCAUCAUAGAUUUUGCAGAUCUUUAUAAUGUGACCCUCCUCCUCCUUUCUUACAUGUUUUGAUGAGUAGAGAAAAUAUAAAUUAUUUAUUCUUUCUCAGCCUCAGUUCCUCAUCUGUGAAAUUGGGAUAAUAGCCAUAAUAACGCAAUAGAAUAUUGUAAGGAAAAACUUAUGAAUGUGUUUGAGGUGCUCAAAUGUUAGAUAUAUUUACUUUUAGAAAAAUAUCAAGGUCCCAGUCCUGAAAUGUGUAAUGCUUAAUUUGUGAGUUCUUCAGUGGUACUACUCACAUGUUUGUAGUUAAGCAAAUGUAAAAAUGUUUGCAAAAUCAGGGCAUAAAUAAAAUAAUGUUUACCACAUUCUUGUGAGAUGGAUAAGAUUAUAACAACUAUUUACAUAUGGUGAAAAGAGGAAGAGGUUAAGUGACUUACUCACGUCCAGAGAGCGUGUCCGGUUCUUGAGUUGGUAUUAGAACUCAGAAUUACAGUCUUGCCCUCAGAAGUAUUAUAAGGGCCCUACUGUCAAACAAACAUUAACCCUGCCCCUUGGUCCAUUAAACCCCACCCACCUGUCACUGGAAGUCCUGCCCCAUUGGGGUAUUACUUCCGGGGUCAAGCUGGACACAUGACUGGAAGCAAGGUGUGUCGUGACCCCUCUAAGAACUCCUCCCACUGCCCUCUACCAAUCAGGAUGGGUUUUGCCCACAUAGGCCCACCCUGAGAGGAGAUUUGACCAAUUGGGGGGAGUUCCGGGGCAGAGUGACCUGUCUGGAAAUGGGUUGUCUGACCCCUCUAAGAACUCCUCCCACCGUCCUCUACCAAUUGUGAUGGGUUUUGGCCGCAGAGGACCGCCCCGAGAGCAGAUUUGACCAAAAUAGGGCAGAUUCUGGGACGGGAUGAACCGCCCAGAAGAGGGUUGUGUGACCCCUCUAAAAACUCCUCCUACCGCCCUCUGCCAAUCAGAGCGCAGCAUCAUCACCCCAUGAAUCCCAGCGCCGGGCAGAGGAGGCCAUCUCUUACCAAGAACACGUGUUUUAGAAAUCGUGGAAAGGCUAAUAGGAAACAUGGACUCCUUCACCACCCCCAUGAGAACUUCAGACUUUGUUUUAGCCCUGAGAGCCUUCGACCAUCUGCGGAGACCAUUCUACAUCAGCGACAAUUCCGAGGAGGAGGAGGAGGGAGCAGACAAGGGGAACCCUUUGGCCCAGCUGUUGAUGGAUACGCUGGAACCCGAACCCGAAACCCAACUACUCGUGAGACACCCUGAUGAGCAUGGCGGCCUUUCAUUGUCCACCCCCCUGGAGGAGGAAGGCAAACGCAGCUUGGGGGAGUCACCAGAGGACAAGGUGAAUGGAAAAGACAUCGCUCAGACAUGGGCAGCUCUCCUGACAAUCCUGUAGUCAGAGCUACAGGGACACCUCUGCCAGAACCGCCAAAGAACCAGAAAUCUUCUCUGAGUCCUUUAAUAACAACAACAGCUGAAGAGGAAAAUUCACCAGCAUUAGUGACUGAUGGAUGGAUGAAGCCCAGCAUGUGCAGCUCUCCUAACAAUGCUGUAGUCGGAGCUACAGGGACACCUCCACCAGAACCGCCAAAGAACCAGGAAUCUGCUUUGAGACCUUUAACAAUGCUAAUGCAAAACAGCACAAGAAUGCAGAUGAAGCAUCAGGGCAGUCCAAACCUCAUAUACGUCAAACCCAAGGACAAAACAAAAGACUCUGGUAAAAACCAA